rnacentral:rRNA from 1 species
AUUGAACGCUGGCGGAAUGCUUUACACAUGCAAGUCGAGCGGCAGCGCGGGGCAACCUGGCGGCAAGCGGCGAACGGGUGAGUAAUGUAUCGGAACGUGUCCUGUCGUGGGGGAUAGCCCGGUGAAAACCGGAUUAAUACCGCAUACGAUCGAGAGAUGAAAGUGGGGGACCGCAAGGCCUCACGCGAUAGGAGCGGCCGAUAUCUGAUUAGCUAGUUGGUGGGGUAAAGGCCCACCAAGGCUUCGAUCAGUAGCUGGUCUGAGAGGAUGAUCAGCCACACUGGGACUGAGACACGGCCCAGACUCCUACGGGAGGCAGCAGUGGGGAAUUUUGGACAAUGGGGGCAACCCUGAUCCAGCCAUUCCGCGUGAGUGAAGAAGGCCUUCGGGUUGUAAGGUUCUUUUGUCCGGGAAGAAACGGUUUCACCUAAUACGUGAGACUACUGACGGUACCGGAAGAAUAAGGACCGGCUAACUACGUGCCAGCCGCCGCAGUAA